rnacentral:rRNA from 1 species
UACGAAGGGGGCUAGCGUUGUUCGGAAUCACUGGGCGUAAAGGGCGCGUAGGCGGCCUAGCAAGUCGGGGGUGAAAGCCUGUGGCUCAACCACAGAAUGGCCUUCGAUACUGCUGGGCUCGAGACCGGAAGAGGUUGGUGGAACUGCGAGUGUAGAGGUGAAAUUCGUAGAUAUUCGCAAGAACACCAGUGGCGAAGGCGGCCAACUGGUCCGGUUCUGACGCUGAGGCGCGAAAGCGUGGGGAGCAAACAGG